UCCGCCAUAGCUCAGUCGGUAGAGCAGGUGGCUGUUAACCACCGGGUCGGGGGUUCGAGUCCCUCUGGCGGAGCCA
rnacentral:tRNA from 1 species